rnacentral:rRNA from 1 species
UACAGAGGGCCCAAGCGUUGUUCGGAUUCAUUGGGCGUAAAGGGUGCGUAGGCGGCGCGGUAAGUCGGGUGUGAAAUCUCGGAGCUUAACUCCGAAACUGCAUUCGAUACUGCCGUGCUUGAGGACUGGAGAGGAGACUGGAAUUCAUGGUGUAGCAGUGAAAUGCGUAGAGAUCAGGAGGAAGACCAGUGGCGAAGGCGGGUCUCUGGACAGUUCCUGACACUGAGACACGAAGGCCAGGGGAGCAAACGGG